GACAGAGGUGGCGACCGUUGUUCGGAAUCACUGGGCAUAAAGCGCGUGUAGGUGGCAUUGUAAGUCGGGUGUGAAAGCCCUCAGCUCAACUGAGGAAGUGCGCCCGAAACUGCCAGAGCUUGAGUGCCGGAGAGGGUGGCGGAAUUCCCCAAGUAGAGGUGAAAUUCGUAGAUAUGCGGAGGAACACCGAUGGCGAAGGCAAUCCCCUGGCCUGCACUGACGCUCAUGCACGAAGCGUGGGGAGCAAACAGG
rnacentral:rRNA from 1 species